rnacentral:rRNA from 1 species
GCUUGCUCUCGGGUGACGAGCGGCUGACGGGUGAGUAAUGUCUGGGAAUCUGCCUGAUGGAGGGGGAUAACUACUGUAAACGGUAGCUAAUACCGCAUAACGUCGCAUGACCAAAGUGGGGGACCUUCGGGCCGCAUGCCAUCAGAUGUGCCCAGAUGGGAUUAGCUAGUAGGUGGGGUAAUGGCUCACCUAGGCGACGAUCCCUAGCUGGUCUGAGAGGAUGACCUGCCACACUGGAACUGAGACACGGUCCAGACUCCUACGGGAGGCAGCAGUGGGGAAUAUUGCACAAUGGGCGCAAGCCUGAUGCAGCCAUGCCGCGUGUAUGAAGAAGGCCUUCGGGUUGUAAAGUACUUUCAGCGAGCAGGAAGGCGUUAAGGUUAAUAACCUUGGCGAUUGACGUUACUCGCAGAAGAAUCACCGGCUAACUCCGUGCCAGCAGCCGCGGUAAUACGGAGGGUGCAAGCGUUAAUCGGAAUUACUGGGCCUAAAGCGCACGCAGGCGGUCUGUUAAGUCAGAUGUGAAAUCCCCGGGCUCAACCUGGGAACUGCAUUUGAAACUGGCACCCUUGAGUCUUGUAGAGGGGGGUAGAAUUCCAGGUGUAGCGGUGAAAUGCGUAGAGAUCUGGAGGAAUACCGGUGGCGAUUGCGGCCCCCUGG